rnacentral:tRNA from 1 species
GCCCCCGUGGCGGAAUUGGUAGACGCGACGGAUUCAAAAUCCGUUGUCUUAACGGACGUGCCCGUUCGAGUCGGGCCGGGGGCA